rnacentral:rRNA from 1 species
AGCGGCGGACGGGUGAGUAACACGUAGGUAAUCUUCCCUUGAGCGGGGGACAACGGUCCGAAAGGACCGCUAAUACCGCAUACGUUCCUGGAGAUUCCGGUCUCCAGGAGGAAAGCUAGGCAGCAAUGUCCGGCACUCGAGGAGGAGCCUGCGUCGCAUCAGCUAGUUGGUGGGGUAACGGCCUACCAAGGCGAAGACGCGUAGCUGGUCUGAGAGGAUGAUCAGCCACACUGGGACUGAGACACGGCCCAGACUCCUACGGGAGGCAGCAGUGGGGAAUAUUGGACAAUGGGCGCAAGCCUGAUCCAGCCACGCCGCGUGAGUGAUGAAGGCCUUCGGGUCGUAAAGCUCUGUGGGGAGGGACGAACCGCUGGAUGUGCAUAGCAUCCAGCAUGACGGUACCUCCUUAGCAAGCACCGGCUAACUUCGUGCCAGCAGCCGCGGUAAUACGAAGGGUGCAAACGUUGCUCGGAAUUAUUGGGCGUAAAGCG